ensembl:lncRNA
UGUCCUCCAUAUUAUCGACCCUACUAUUCAGAGAGUCCAGAUUUUUCUUAAUCUCCUCCAUUGUGUUCUUCAUCUCCAGUAUUUCUAAUUGGUUCUUCUUUAUAGUAUCAAGCUCUUUUGUAACAUAGCUCCUGAGCUCAUUGAGUUGUCUAUCUGAAUUCUCUUUUAACUCGUUGAGUUUUUUAAUAAUGGCAGUUUUGAAAUGAUCAUCAUUUAGGUUGUAGAUUUCGUUGUUUGGGGAUUGUUUUCUGGGUGCUUAUCAUUUUCCUUCUGUUCUGGAGAUUUAAUAUAUUUUUUCAUUCUGCUUGAUGGCGUGGAUUUGUGCCUCCGCAUAGAGAUAGAGUUUAGUCGCUGCUUACACUGGUUGUGACUGGUGUGUGUGUGGGGGGGGGGGGCAGCUGUUUAGACUGCACCAACCAGGAACUCUGUCAGCUGUUACUCAUUGGACCUGGACCCCUCCUCAUGUCACAGUGGUCCUGUGGGGUCCCUCGUCGGUUAUGGGGGCAAUCACAAGGGGGCCUCAGGCUGCUGGUGACUACUGCUGCAGCCCACUUAGAUGCGCUCCCUCCUUGUGGUCUGCAGCGGUGUUGUUUGUGGGCUUUCCCAUCAGCCAGGAGCAGGAUCAUCUAUAAUCACCACUUUGUCCAUAACAGAGCCCACAAGAUCACACUUGUCCACUAUAUGUCCCCGCAGAGCUAUGGGUAUCUUGUGCAGUCUGUCGUUAGCUCACCUAGCUGUGCUGCUUUUGCCGCAGGGCCUUCCCGCCUUGCGAUUGCCAGUCAGGACCUCUCCACUAGUGCUGUGCAGAGGCUUUUGCUGAGGCUGCUGUCUGGGGGUCAGGGGUUGGAGAGUUUUCACCUAUUUCCACCUCCCUCCCAGGGGGAAGUCCGUCCGCCUUCCGAUGUGUAGUAGCAUGGGACUCUUAGGCGUCUUGAGAUGCUAUCUGGAUAUCCUUUGUUAAUCAAUGAAUGUCCAAUUAGUUGUGGAUUUGACGGGGGAGAGACAAAGAAGACCACUCACUCUGCCAUCUUGCACAUGCUAGUUUCUUUUAUCAGCUGUUUGGGAUCAAGCCCUUAGUGUUACCGAAAGUUCAGUCUCUGAUCCUGAUGCCAAUCCAGAUAACAAGAAUGGAGUCUUGGGAGGAAAAGGAAAGCUUUUCUUUGCCAGGCAGAGGGAGCAAAGCAAGGGCCAGUGCCCCCAAAUGCUUGCUCCCCAUUGAGAAACGGGUAGGGGUUUUUAUUUAGGGUUUUAGGUAGGGGAGGGGGGCUGUGGAUUUCUUGGUCAGCAUUUUCCCAUCGGCCUGUGUCUUGGGCUGCUUCCAGGGGAGACAAAGGAUUUCUCAGAUGAGUGUCCUUGGCUGCUUAUCUCCAUGGUGGAAGGUAGACUCUGACAUCAGGAAGCUGAGGAGGUGGGGCUGGGAAGCUUUGGUUUCUUGAUAUUCUCUGGACACUAGUUUCUCUGUAAAAGAACUUUAAGGUCCUGGGAUUAGCCACAACUUUAGUGGGAGCCCAGUGUGAGGUCAUCUGGACUUUAAUAAUUUGUAACUUCUAUUUGGUUCUAGAGCUCACAGAGUCAGAGGUUAAAGAAACAAAUAUUUACAUAUGAGUGUAACUAAGGAACCAGGGAACUGGAAAUGUGUGCUUUUAGUUUUAACCCCUAUAUACAGGGUUCACUAUAGGGGAACAAAUAUCAGGGCUGAUAUUAACUAAGAGCUGGUAACAUUAGUUCCAGACUGCCUGGAAUUGCCAAUUUUGAUUCUUGUCUGAAUCCUUCCAACUCGAACCUUGUUUAUGCUUU